rnacentral:lncRNA from 1 species
CCAUUUGCUGUGAGUUGAGCUUGGUGGGUCCAUGUGCAAGUGUGGUCCGCGUGAAUGGCUUUGAAGCGCGGGCUGUCCAUGUGCUUGUUGGAUGUGCUGGACAUGUCAUGUGGGCUCAUGAGUGCAAGGUUGAUGGAGCGGGAGUGUGGGCCCAUGUUGGAAUCCACGUGCGUGAAUGUGUGGAGCGCGGGCCCAUGCUGGAGUGGGCUGUCCUCGCGCAAGAAUUGAGCUUGACCAUUUGGGCGUGAGUGGUCCAUAUGUGCGUGGCCCAUUUGCGUCAAUAUUUAAGCUUCA